rnacentral:rRNA from 1 species
CUACGGGCUGCUGCAGUGGGGAAUAUUGGACAAUGGGCGCAAGCCUGAUCCAGCAAUGCCGCGUGAGUGAAGACGGCCUUAGGGUUGUAAAACUCUUUCGCUAGGGAAGAUAAUGACUGUACCUAGUAAAGAAGUCCCGGCUAACUCCGUGCCAGCAGCCGCGGUAAUACGGAGGGGACUAGCGUUGUUCGGAAUUACUGGGCGUAAAGAGUUCGUAGGCGGACUGACAAGUUAGAGGUGAAAUCCCAGGGCUCAACCCGUGAACUGCCUUUAAAACUGUCAGUCUAGAGACCGGAAGAGGUUAGGGGAAUACCUAGUGUAGAGGUGAAAUUCGUAGAUAUUAGGUGGAACACCAGUGGCGAAGGCGCCUAACUGGUCCGAUACUGACGCUGAGGAACGAAAGCGUGGGGAGCAAACAGGAUUAGAUACCCCCGUAGUC